GACGUAGGAGGCGAGCGUUGUCCGGAUUCAUUGGGCGUAAAGAGCGCGCAGGCGGCUUGGUAAGUCGGAUGUGAAAUCCCGAGGCUCAACCUCGGGUCUGCAUCCGAUACUGCCCGGCUAGAGGUAGGUAGGGGAGAUCGGAAUUCCUGGUGUAGCGGUGAAAUGCGCAGAUAUCAGGAGGAACACCGGUGGCGAAGGCGGAUCUCUGGGCCUUACCUGACGCUGAGGCACGAAGGUCAGGGGAGCAAACGGG
rnacentral:rRNA from 1 species